rnacentral:rRNA from 1 species
GACGAACGCUGGCGGCGUGCCUAAUACAUGCAAGUUGAGCGCUGAAGGUUGGUCCUUGUACCAACUGGAUGAGCAGCGAACGGGUGAGUAACGCGUGGGGAAUCUGCCUUUGAGCGGGGGACAACAUUUGGAAACGAAUGCUAAUACCGCAUAAAAACUUUAAACACAAGUUUUAAGUUUGAAAGAUGCAAUUGCAUCACUCAAAGAUGAUCCCGCGUUGUAUUAGCUAGUUGGUGAGGUAAAGGCUCACCAAGGCGAUGAUACAUAGCCGACCUGAGAGGGUGAUCGGCCACAUUGGGACUGAGACACGGCCCAAACUCCUACGGGAGGCAGCAGUAGGGAAUCUUCGGCAAUGGACGAAAGUCUGACCGAGCAACGCCGCGUGAGGGAAGAAGGGUUUCGGAUCGUAAAACUCUGUUGGUAGAGAAGAACGUUGGUGAGAGUGGAAAGCUCAUCAAGUGACGGUAACUACCCAGAAAGGGACGGCUAACUACGUG